AAACUUUUAACGACCCUUGAUGACGCCAUACCAAACUGCCAACGACUUUGCGUGGAAACUCCCGAUAAGAUCAACAGACUGCAGUAAGGAAUGGUGGACAAUUGUCUAGGAAUUCUAAUGAGUGACCGAUGUGGUUGAUGGAUAGCUGACAAGACAUCAACAGGCCUCACCAAAGGCAGAAGGACAUGAAAAUCUAGACACCCACAGAUGUUUGGAAGCUGGCCGGCUUCUCUGCUCUCUGACAUUCUCCUUCUCCCGAGAGAGGCCGCCAUGUCACAGUAAUGUCAAACACAUGCGCUCACCACACCGUCGCCGUCUUUCCCACUGUUUGGAGGGAUAAACAGGGC